UGGGGAAUAUUGCACAAUGGGCGGAAGCCUGAUGCAGCGACGCCGCGUGAGGGAUGACGGCCUUCGGGUUGUAAACCUCUUUCAGUAGGGACGAAGCGUAAGUGACGGUACCUGCAGAAGAAGGACCGGCUAACUACGUGCCAGCAGCCGCGGUAAUACGUAGGGUGCGAGCGUUGUCCGGAAUUACUGGGCGUAAAGAGCUCGUAGGCGGUUUGUCACGUCGUCUGUGAAAUCCUAGGGCUUAACCCUGGACGUGCAGGCGAUACGGGCUGACUUGAGUACUACAGGGGAGACUGGAAUUUCUGGUGUAGCGGUGGAAUGCACAGAUAUCAGGAAGAACACCGAUGGCGAAGGCAGGUCUCUGGGUAGUAACUGACGCUGAGGAGCGAAAGCAUGGGUAGCGAACAGG
rnacentral:rRNA from 1 species